rnacentral:rRNA from 1 species
UUGAAAGGGAAACGAUUGAAGUCAGUCGUGCUGGCGCGAAAUCAACCUUCUCGUCUUGAGAUCACAUGGCGUGGCGAGCCUCAAAACCGUCACGAAGCGUGAACUCUUUGUGAAAUGGAGCACUUUCGUGUCCGCUGGUUAACAUCAAUUUCGAACGUCAUAAAAAGGCCGGAGGGAUGUGGCUCCUUCGGGAGUGUUAUAACCUUUAGCGGAAUGUGGUGUUCGGGAUUGAGGAUUGCAACGAAUACCUUUAGGGCUGUUCCACCUGGCCUCUCUUUGGUAUCCUGGUGACGACAGCUUGCUGACGUCGUUAGGAUUCGCCUUUGAACAGGCUAGAGUGUGAGCAAAUUCGUUAAGGAUGUUGACGUA